UCUGAAAAGGAUCAACACACACAGGGCUCCUGGACCUGAUGGCAUCCCUGGCCAUGCUCUCAAGGUGUGUGCAGUUCAGCUGGCAGAUUUGUUCACAGACAUUUUCAAUAGGUCACUGCUCCAGUCUGUAGUCCCCACAUGUUUUAAAGAGUCCAUUAUUGUCCCUGUCCCAAAAAGACAAAACCCAUCUGCCUCAAUGACUACUGCCCAGUUGCACUCUCCUCCAUCAUCAUGAAUUGCUUUGAGUGGUUAGUCAAAACUUUUACCACCUCCUCCCUCCCUGACUCACUGGACCCCCUGCAGUUUGCCUACAGGGCAAACAGGUCCACGGAUGAUGCCAUCUCCCUCACCCUCCACACUGCCCUCUCCCACCUGGACCAGAGGAACACUUAUGUGAGAAGGCUGUUCAUUGACUACAGUUCAGCAUUCAACACCAUUGUGCCCUCCAAGCUCAUCAUUAAGCUCAGGGACCUCGGGCUCAACAGCGCCCUCUGUGACUGGAUCCUGAGCUUCCUGACAGAUCCAAGGCAGUGCAGAUGGGGAACAUCACACCCUCCACCUUGACCCUCAACACUGCAUCACCGCCUGGUAUGGCAGUUGCACCCGCCCUCAACCGUAAGACUCUACAGAGGGUGGUGAAAACUGCUCAGCACAUCACCAGGACGGAGCUUCCAUCCAUGGAGGACCUCUACACCCAGCGGUGUAGGAAGAAGGCCGGUAGGAUAUUAAAGGACCCCCAUCCCCCCAGCAACAAUCUGUUCUGUCUGCUGCUGUCUGGCAGACGGUACCGCAGCAUCCGGGCCAAGACCACCAGACUCAGGGACAGUUUCAUACCACAGGCUAUAAGACUGAUGAACUCCUGAGCUCUGUGAAUGUCUACUCACAUGUUUAUAGUACACAUAUCUAUUUAUUAUACACCUCUGCCAUAAAUAUCUGUUUAUACGUAAUAUAUGCAUCUGUCUAUACCUCCUCAUACAACAGUGUAAAGUAUUUAAAUUACUGUACAAUGUAUUUAAAUACUUUCAAUGUAUUCUACAUAUGUAUAUAUUUUACAUCUUUACAUCCUUAUUGUUGUUAUUGUAUAUACUUUGUCUAAUUUUUGCACUAUUUUAUUUAUCUUAUUUGCACCAUGUAUGUUGAGUUGUUGGAGGAGCAUGGGAUAUAAGAUCUUCAUUGCCAACAUAUACGCUGUAUCUGCUGUGCAUAUGACAAAUACAACCUUUGAACUUUUGAACUUUGGUGGACCAUGGCGAGGCCUGUUCUGAGUGGAACCUGUCCUGUUAAACCGCUGUAUGGUCUUGGCCACCGUGCCGCAGCUCAGUUUCAGGGUGUUGGUAAUCUUAUAGCCUAAGCCAUCUUCAUGUAGAGCAACAACUCUUUUUUUCAGAUCCUCAGAGUUCUUUGCCAUGAGGUGCCAUGUUGAACUUCCAGUGACCAGUAUGAGAGAGUAUCGAUGCACUGCAGAGACCGGCUAUGCAGACCAAGGCUGUGGAAGGCUGCCGCUGCCAGGCCUGUACAGGAGGAGAUCUUGAGGGAGAGGAGGUUGGGGCAAAACUGCGACACAACCUUCAUUUGAACAAAAAAUAAGCAGAAAACACAUGUUUUAGGUAGCUGGGUUUUCCCUGAAGCAAUCCAGCAGUGACCCACAGUAACUUUACGCCACAAGACUGGACUGGAGGCAGCAGCAUUCCACAAACGACAAACUCGUCCCACCCUGAGCCAGAACCACAGAAGAAAAGUUUGUUUGGUCUGAAAUAAACAGUAUUAAUAAACGGAACAUGCAGAAAAUGCCUUACAUGGCGACUACUGUCAUAUCGCCACCAAUACAUUGAACAGAAUUGUCCAGCAGCAACAAUAUAAUAAUUAUUCAUUAGCAUUAGCAAAGCAUUAGUCCAUCAUUACAAUCAAAAAGUCCAACUGAAAUGUCCUGCAAAUGUUUUUCAUUGUUUGCAACAAAUCAAUUAACAUUUGGUGUUUUAUUUUUUCCUAUGGUACUUGAUUGAAUACAUGUGGAUUUUAGACUGGUGGCUGAACACAAUUGCAAGUCCAGGCCUAUAAUGAUAUUUCACAUGUAGCUCUCUGAAAUUGUGUACAUUAAAUGGAUCAAAUAUUAAGUUAUGUGAUAAUCUGUCAUUUCAACAAUCAUGUAAAUAAUGAUGGCAUUCCUAAAAGCCAUAUGAUCAUCUCAUAUCUUUCCAAUUAAAAGGAGACGUCUUAAAAUUCCAGAUAUUUAAGUAGUUACUAAGCUAAGCUACAUCAAAUAUGUGUUUAUUACCUGCAUAGAAAUGGAAUAGCGCCAUC